CCUACGGGUGGCAGCAGUGGGGAAUAUUGGACAAUGGGCGAAAGCCUGAUCCAGCCAUGCCGCGUGUGUGAAGAAGGCCUUCGGGUUGUAAAGCACUUUCAGUGGGGAAGAAAGCCUUGGGGCUAAUACCCUCGAGGAAGGACAUCACCCACAGAAGAAGCACCGGCUAACUCCGUGCCAGCAGCCGCGGUAAUACGGAGGGUCGAGCGUUAAUCGGAAUUACUGGGCGUAAAGCGCGCGUAGGCGGUCUGAUAAGCCGGUUGUGAAAGCCCCGGGCUCAACCUGGGAACGGCAUCCGGAACUGUCAGGCUAGAGUGCAGGAGAGGAAGGUAGAACUCCCGGUGUAGCGGUGAAAUGCGUAGAGAUCGGGAGGAAUACCAGUGGCGAAGGCGGCCUUCUGGACUGACACUGACGCUGAGGUGCGAAAGCGUGGGUAGCAAACAGGAUUAGAUACCCCGGUAGUC
rnacentral:rRNA from 1 species